rnacentral:rRNA from 1 species
ACUCCUAACGGGAGGCAGCAGUAAGGAAUAUUGCGCAAUGGGCGAAAGCCUGACGCAGCGACGCCGCGUGGGGAUGAAGGUCUUCGGAUUGUAAACCCUUUCGCAGGGAAGAUGGGCGGGCAACCGCUCGGACGGUACCUGCAGAAGCAGCCACGGCUAACUUCGUGCCAGGCAGCCGCGGUAAUACGAAGGUGGCAAGCGUUGUUCGGAUUUACUGGGCGUACAGGGAGCGUAGGCGGUUAGGUAAGCCCUUCGUGAAAUCUCCGGGCCUAACCCGGAAAGUGCGGGGGNGCUCUUAGC